CGAGUGGCGGACGGGUGAGUAAUACAUCGGANCGUGCCCNAUCGUGGGGGAUAACUACUCGAAAGAGUGGCUAAUNCCGCGUACNAUCUACUGAUGAAAGCGGGGGAUCGCAAGACCUCUCGCGGACGGAGCGGCCGAUGGCAGAUUAGGUAGUUGGUGGGAUAAAAGCUUACCAAGCCGACAAUCUGUAGCUGGUCUGAGAGGACAACCAGCCACACUGGGACUGAGACACGGCCCACACUCCUACGGGAGGCAGCAGUGGGGAAUUUUGGACAAUGGACGAAAGCCUGAUGCCGCAAUGCCCCGUGGAGGAUGACAGCUUUCGGGGUGUAAACUCCUUUUAUAUUGGAAGA
rnacentral:rRNA from 1 species